UUCCGGUUGAUCCCGCCGGAGGUCACUGCUAUCGGGGCUCGAUUAAGCCAUGCGAGUCGAGAGGGUUCGGCCCUCGGCGUACUGCUCAGUAACACGUGGAUAACCUGCCCUAAGGAAGGGGAUACCCCCGGGAAACUGGGGAUAAUACCCUAUAGGUUACAGAUGCUGGAAUGCUCUGUAACCGAAAGUUCCGGCGCCUUAGGAUGGAUCUGCGGCCGAUUAGGUUGUUGUCGGGGUAACGGCCCAACAAGCCAGUAAUCGGUACGGGUUGUGGGAGCAAGAGCCCGGAGUUGGAUUCUGAGACACGAAUCCAGGCCCUACGGGGCGCAGCAGGCGCGAAAACUUUACAAUGCGGGCAACCGUGAUAAGGGAACCUCGAGUGCCUGUAUAUGCAGGCUGUCUGGGUGUCUAAAACACACCUAAAGAAAGGGCCGGGCAAGACCGGUGCCAGCCGCCGCGGUAAUACCGGCGGCUCGAGUGGUGGCCACUUUUAUUGGGCUUAAAGCGUUCGUAGCUGGGUUAUUAAGUCCCUUGGGAAAUCCGACGGCUUAACCGUCGGGCGUCUAAGGGAUACUGGCAAUCUUGGAACCGGGAGAGGUGAGGGGUACUUCGGGGGUAGGAGUGAAAUCCUGUAAUCCUCGAGGGACCACCUGUGGCGAAGGCGCCUCACCAGAACGGCUUCGACAGUGAGGGACGAAAGCUGGGGGAGCAAACCGGAUUAGAUACCCGGGUAGUCCCAGCCGUAAACGAUGUGCGUUAGGUGUAUCGGUGACCACGAGUCACCGAGGUGCCGAAGGAAACCGUGAAACGUACCGCCUGGGAAGUACGGUCGCAAGGCUGAAACUUAAAGGAAUUGGCGGGGGAGCACCACA
rnacentral:rRNA from 1 species